rnacentral:lncRNA from 1 species
CUUUUACGUCGGCCUUCGCGAGCGUUUGGUCGGGUGGUAGGAACAAUGGCGCUGUCUUCAGUGGCACAGUGGAGCAGCUCUGAAGAUGCAAAGAUACACGAAAAAACUUCCAGAACAUCUGGGAGAAUAUUUAAUGGAAAAUCGCUUGGUUAAAACCUGACACUCUUAACAGUGAGGGUCGCUGUCUGCCCAUUGAUAGAGGCCAGAUUGUCUUGGAAGUUCCAAAGUUGCAACGAUUUCUUUAGUUGAAUCCAUGGACAUGAAACCCACAGAUAUAGAGGGUUGGCCCAGUGCAGUGGCUCACGCCUGUAAUCCCAGCACUUUGGGAGGCCAAGGCGGGUGGAUCACCUGAGGUCAGAAGCUUGAGACAAGCCUGGCCAACAUGGGUACUGCUUUCUCUUGCUGCAGCUUGCUUCCUCCCUCAGGUAACAUGAAGGAGGAUAUUGAAUGUUCCUAACACAAAGAAAUGAUAAAUGUUUGAGAUGGUGGAUGUGCUAAUUGCCCUGAUCUGAUGACUAUACAUUAUAUAUAUUGAAACAUCAGUAUGUACCCCAUGAAUAUGUACAAU